rnacentral:misc_RNA from 1 species
ACUAUUGCUAUAAACACUCUAAAGGCUGUUUACAGGAACAGCCAGGCACAGCUGUCCAACAAUCAACAAGAAACAGUUUUGGAACGCAGCUCCUCAUCUCUCUGUUUCAUUUGGACGUGGAAGACUAGGGCAUAAACAUGGCGGACAGCGGCGGGAACUUUGAAGCGUUUUCAAGAAGAUGAAAUUUAGUGGUUUAUNCGUCAAUUGUUUCAAAUACUUGAAACUUUUAAAUUAUUUUAUCAUCACGUUGCAUCAUUAUUGUUGAUAUAUUUACAUACUAAAUGUCGACUCGAAGACUNCAACGUGUGCAAGGAGUACGCAGCGAGGUUUUGACUCGACUGUCGAAGAAUCGCGUGUUUACUUGCAAGGAUUUGUUGUCUAAAAAUUCACUUGAACUUCUGAAACUGUGUGGUGUGAGUUUUGAUGAAGUGAAGGACAUUGAGAAAGCAGUCAGCAAAGCUAUUGCUCCAAGAAUUACAACUGCUUUGGACCUUCAUCGCAAGUCAUCAAGUGAAGCAGCUUUUCUUCCAACAUCACUNAUUCCUCUUGAUAAACAACUUCAUGGUGGGCUGCCAUGUGGGACAAUCACGGAGAUCACAGGGCCAGCUGGAUGUGGCAAGACACAGUUUUGUAUCAUGCUUAGUAUCCUAGCAACACUACCCACAGAUAUGGGUGGUCUAGCGGCUAAUGUUAUAUACAUUGACACAGAGGCUGCAUUUAGUGCCUCAAGAUUGGUUGAAAUGGCAGAAAGUCGCUUUCCUGAUUUAUUUAACACACAAGACUCGGUUCUUUCUCUUUCAAAAAAAAUCCAUGUAUUUUGGGAACCUACAUGCAGUNCAUUGUGGGAAAGGCUUCAGAUACUAGAGGAAGAAGUUAUAUCAAAGAAAGUCAAGCUGAUAAUUCUAGAUUCUGUUGCAUCUGUUGUGAGGAAAGAGUUUGACAGCAGAUCAUCAAAGAAUGUCAAUGAAAGAACCAAUUUACUCUCCAAAGAAGCUGCAAUACUCAAAUACAUUGCCGAGACCUUCAAUAUACCGGUUGUCGUCACCAAUCAGAUCACCACACGGUUUAAUGACAUUGAUAGACAAGACCACAACCUGGACGAUUUGGAUGGUGGGGACCUGGAACAUGAUGAGGAUGGUUCUAGUAGUCAUGUGAUGGCAGCUUUGGGAAAUACAUGGUCACAUGCAGUCAAUACUAGAUUGAUUGUACAGUACUUGGAUGACGUUUACCGACAGAUCAUGAUUUCCAAGUCUCCAAUUGCGCCCUUUNCUGUGUUUACCUACAUGAUACAGACUAAAGGAGUGGUUUUAGUAGACUCACAUCAUAUCAAACAAGCUCAAAGGCGAUCAUCAGGAAACCCUUCUCUACAACCCAUACAAGUACGAUCAAGUUUCACUUGGGCCAACUAAAGAUACAGAUUGCACCGAGGGAGAUCAUAACACUAGUAAGGCAAAUCUAAGAUUGUCAACAGCAACUGAAAAGACAACAAGUCGCGAUGUUAUUUUCAUGGUUUGUGUUCUAAAUUAUUAAUAUAUCAGUGGAAGAGAGAUAAGAACGAAAUCUACAGAUGUUACCUUGUUUCGUGGCACCGAAAUGUAAAUUGUACGUGUGUUAGCGAUAAACCUCUUCAGCCGGUAGAUCCAUAGCAAUCAUAAAGUAAUUAAAGCUUUAAAUAGGUCAGCCAAUCAUGAUGGGGUACAAUCAAUCAAUUUUCAGUUUUUUUUUUCAGUCUACCACUUUAAGAAGAAGA